rnacentral:rRNA from 1 species
UACGUCCUAUUAGCUUGUUGGUGAGGUAAUGGCUCACCAAGGCGAUAAUGGGUAGCUGGUCUGAGAGGAUGAUCAGCCACAUUGGGACUGAGAUACGGCCCAGACUCCUACGGGAGGCAGCAGUGGGGAAUCUUGGCCAAUGGACGAAAGUCUGAGCCAGCGACACCGCGUGGGGGAUGAAGGCUUUCGGGUCGUAAACCCCUUUUCUGGGGGAAGAAUAAGGUCGAGAGGAAAUGCUCGUCCGAUGACGGUACCCCAGGAACAAGCAUCGGCUAACUCCGUGCCAGCAGCCGCGGUAAGACGGAGGAUGCGAGCGUUAUCCGGAAUUACUGGGCGUAAAGGGCGUCUAGGCGGUCAGGUAAGUCACCUGUGAAAGCCCUCGGCUCAACCGAGGAACGUCGGGUGAUACUGCUUGGCUUGGGUGUAGGAGAGGAGAGUGGAACUCACAGAGUAGCGGUGGAAUGCGUAGAUACUGUGAGGUACCCCGAUGGCGAANGCAACUCUCUGGCCUACUACCGACGCUGAAGCGCGAAAGCGUGGGGAGCAAAGGGGAUUAGAUACCCCCGUAGUCCACGCCCCAAACGAUGUUCACUUGGUGUCGGCCGCUCAUACUGGUCGGUGCCGGAGCUAACGCGUUAAGUGAACCGCCUGAGGAGUACGGCCGCAAGGCUAAAACUCAAGAGAAUUGACGGGUCCCCGCACAAGCGGUGGAGCACGUGGUUUAAUUCGAUGAUAAGCGAAGAACCUCACCUGGGCUUGACAUACUAGUGGUAGGAACCUGAAAGGGGGACGACCCUGCUUCGGUAGGGAGCUAGUACAGGUGAUGCAUGGCUGUCGUCAGCUCGUGUCGUGGGAUGUAGGGUUAAGUCCCGAAACGAGCGCAACCCUUGUCGCUAGUUGCCAGCGGGUAAUGCCGGGGACUCUAGCGAGACUGCUGGUGAAUAGCCGGAGGAAGGCGGGGAUGACGUCAAGUCAUCAUGUCCCUUAUGCCCAGGGCGACACACAUGCUACAAUGGGAGGUACAAAGAGCUGCAAUGCCGUAAGGUGGAGCCAAUCCCAAAAAACCUCCCUCAGUUCGGAUUGAGGUCUGCAACUCGACCUCAUGAAGCCGGAAUCGCUAGUAAUCGCGGGUCAGCAUACCGCG